rnacentral:rRNA from 1 species
AGCGAACGCUGGCGGCAUGCCUAACACAUGCAAGUCGAACGAGACCUUCGGGUCUAGUGGCGCACGGGUGCGUAACGCGUGGGAACCUGCCCUUAGGUUCGGAAUAACUCUCCGAAAGGGGUGCUAAUACCGGAUAAUGUCUUCGGACCAAAGAUUUAUCGCCUUUGGAUGGGCCCGCGUUGGAUUAGCUAGUUGGUAGGGUAAAAGCCUACCAAGGCGACGAUCCAUAGCUGGUCUGAGAGGAUGAUCAGCCACACUGGGACUGAGACACGGCCCAGACUCCUACGGGAGGCAGCAGUGGGGAAUAUUGGACAAUGGGCGAAAGCCUGAUCCAGCAAUGCCGCGUGAGUGAUGAAGGCCUUAGGGUUGUAAAGCUCUUUUACCCGGGAUGAUAAUGACAGUACCGGGAGAAUAAGCUCCGGCUAACUCCGUG